rnacentral:rRNA from 1 species
UACGUAGGGGGGCAAGCGUUGUCCGGAAUCAUUGGGCGUAAAGCGCGUGUAGGCGGUCCGGUAAGUCCGCUGUGAAAGUCGAGGGCUCAACCCUCGAAUGCCGGUGGAUACUGCAGGGCUAGAGUCCGGAAGAGGCGAGUGGAAUUCCUGGUGUAGCGGUGAAAUGUGCAGAUAUCAGGAGGAACACCGAUGGCGAAGGCAGCUCGCUGGGACGGUACUGACGCUGAGGCGCGAAAGCGUGGGGAGCAAACAGG